GAUGAGAACGUAGCGAAAUGCGAUACGUAAUGUGAAUUGCAGAAUUCAGUGAAUCAUCGAGUCUUUGAACGCACAUUGCGCCCCCUGGUAUUCCGGGGGGCAUGCCUGUCCGAGCGUCAUUGCUGCCCUCAAGCACGGCUUGUGUGUUGGGCCUCCGUCCUCCUCCCGGGGGACGGGCCCGAAAGGCAGCGGCGGCACCGCGUCCGGUCCUCGAGCGUAUGGGGCUUCGUCACCCGCUCUUGUAGGCCCGGCCGGCGCUUGCCGACACAUCAAUCUUUUUUCCAGGUUGACCUCGGAUCAGGUAGGGAUACCCGCUGAACUUAAGCAUAUCAAUAAGCGGAGGA
rnacentral:misc_RNA from 1 species